AACGUAGGAGACAAACGUUAUCCGGAUGUACUGGGCGUAAAGGGCGUGUAGGUGGUUUCGUAAGUCUGGCGUGAAAUUUUUCGGCUUAACCGGGAAAGGUCGUCGGAUACUGCGGAGCUAGAGGACGGUAGAGGCGUGUGGAAUUCCGGGUGUAGUGGUGAAAUGCGUAGAGAUCCGGAGGAACACCAGUGGCGAAGGCGACACGCUGGGCCGUACCUGACACUGAUGCGCGACAGCAUGGGGAGCAAACAGG
rnacentral:rRNA from 1 species